AUUGAACGCUGGCGGCAGGCCUAACACAUGCAAGUCGAGCGAGCGGCGGACGGGUGAGUAAUGUAUGGGGACUGCCCGAUAGAGGGGGAUAACUACUGGAAACGGUGGCUAAUACCGCAUACUAUCGUUUACCCCCGAUGGGAUUAGCUAGUAGGUGGGGUAAAGGCUAACCUAGGCGACGAUCUCUCGCUGGUCGGAGAGGAUGAUCAGCCACACGGGGACUGAGACACGGCCCAGACUCCUACGGAGGCAGCAGUGGGGAAUAUUGCACAAUGGGCGCAAGCCUGAUGCAGACAUGCCGCGUGUAUGAAGAAGGCCUUAGGGUUGUAAAGUCCUUUCAGCGGGGAGGCGUUACCCGAAGAAGAAGCACCGGCUAACUCCGUGCCAGCAGCCGCGGUAAUUC
rnacentral:rRNA from 1 species